UAUGGAGUUGUUUACAGCUGGGCUACCAGGAAGUCAGCGCCAUCUUAGAAUGGCGGCUCCCUACACAAUGUGAGAUCUUGUAUUAAAAAAAGAAAGAAAGAAAGAAAAAGGUGAAGGGUGGACAAGAUGGCUUACCAGGUAGAAAGCAUUCGCUAUGCAAGCGCGAUGACCGGAGCCGAUCACCGGAACCCAGAGUGGAAGGAGAGAGCCGACUCCUGAAAUUUAUCCUCUGAGCUCCGCACAUGUGCCAGGCACAGACACGCCUGCAUUCGUGCGCACAUCACACAGACGCAGGAAGACCUCAAGCUUUUGCUUCGUGACUAGAUUGUCAAAAUCAGAGCGCCCGUGACUCGUGCCAAAAACAAGCCUCCCAUUUCCCCCCUUGAUUCUCAACGUUCUCUCAAAUGAAGAAACUGGCAGAGAGUGGCUUCAGGAUCACCAGGUAGGAAGUCUUCAAAAGACGAUCAUGAAGGCUCAGGACACCCCGCCCAUGGACCUUCAGCAGCUUAAGCUUGGUCAUGAGCAUCGCUCUGCAGUAUGGUUUGGGUAGCUCGCUCUCUGCAGGGCCGCUGAAGCAUCUGUGUUGGCUCACACAUGAACUCGCAGGCAGGCAGGACUUCUCCAGGGUUGGUGUGUCUCCCUCAGUGACUCUGGUAGCAUUAGUGGAGCCCAUCAGCCAGGUAUUCCUGCUGUUGGUGGCUGAUGUAGGCCUUUUCCUGGGGCCUCUUGUGGUCAGUACACAUGAAAAGGUGGGGCAGGGACUUCCUGGCCCUUCCCAAGGCCGUCUUGAAAAUCUCCUGCUGAAGCGCAGUAAGCACACUGCACUAGGCAGGUACACACUGAGUCAGAUUCAUUCACUUGAUGUUCUCUUCAACUGACAAACCAUGAGCUUUCCAAGCAGACCAAGCAAGCCCCGUGCAGA